UGUAUUUGUUUUUGUUCAUUUGUUUGUUUUUUGGUACAGGGGAUCAAACUUGGGACCUUGCACUUAUGAGGCAGGCGGCGGAACCACUGAGCUAAAUCCCCGGCCCUUGGCUCCUUGUAUACUAUACUCUAACCCAUAAAUGGCUGGAAACCAGUAGUUAAUUGGGAUUGGCUGGCCAGCAAAAUCUUCCCCUUGAAGGACAAAGCCAAGGUUGAUGCAAGAGAACAGCAAAGACCUGCAGGAACUGAGCUGUCACAAAGGCCGAUUUCGGGAGCUAGGAGCAGUAGAGGCUGCACUGGGGCAUCAAGGAAACCAGACUAACAGUGGUAACAAUUCUGGUUCACCAGAAGCCGGGCUGCAGCAUGGAGCAGAUAUAAAGAAGAUGAGAAACUCUACUAAUCAACCAAAACUAUGAAAGAAAAAAAUAUAACUUGGAUAUCAAGAACAUUGUACAAACAUAUUAUUAUUCAUGAUGGCCCCAAAAGCUGAGAUCAAGCAAAGUUCCAAAAGAAGAUAGCUUGGAAGAAGGGAGAGCCCGGGAAAGGCAGAAGCAAGCAAACUGACAGAUCCCUAAAGCAAACGCAGAAAUGUACUUUCACUUCUGAGGAGUGGAGAGAUAAAGAGAUAGAAUAGAGCUAAGAUUAUGUUAUUAGGUUCAGAGAAGUAAAGGGAAUUUGCACAGCAAAGAUACCGUAUUGAAGCAAAAUGCCUGCAAGGCAGAAAGGGAAAGAAUCUCCAGUUACAAAACCUAGAAUUUUACCUUGCCUAACUUUGCACUCUCAAUGAAAACAUCCUAUAAAUAAGUAGUCCUAGAAAAUCUUUUUUUUUUUCUCCCAUUAACUUUAUUGGUACAUUUCAGGUGUAAAAUACUGUUACAUUCAUCAUUGGGAUUUUGUACCAUUACAUGAGUCUCUUGGUUCUUUUUUUUCCCCCCUUCCCUUGCCCUCCCUUC
rnacentral:lncRNA from 1 species